rnacentral:rRNA from 1 species
AUUGAACGCUGGCGGCAGGCCUAACACAUGCAAGUCGAACGGUAACAGGAAGCAGCUUGCUGCUUUGCUGACGAGUGGCGGACGGGUGAGUAAUGUCUGGGAAACUGCCUGAUGGAGGGGGAUAACUACUGGAAACGGUAGCUAAUACCGCAUAACGUCGCAAGACCAAAGAGGGGGACCUUCGGGCCUCUUGCCAUCGGAUGUGCCCAGAUGGGAUUAGCUAGUAGGUGGGGUAACGGCUCACCUAGGCGACGAUCCCUAGCUGGUCUGAGAGGAUGACCAGCCACACUGGAACUGAGACACGGUCCAGACUCCUACGGGAGGCAGCAGUGGGGAAUAUUGCACAAUGGGCGCAAGCCUGAUGCAGCCAUGCCGCGUGUAUGAAGAAGGCCUUCGGGUUGUAAAGUACUUUCAGCGGGGAGGAAGGGAGUAAAGUUAAUACCUUUGCUCAUUGA